CGGCGGGAUGGGGCGGCCGUAGAGGGCUAAGGGGCGGGGGGGGGGGACGCCUCGCCAUGCGGUACAACGAGCGGGAGCUGCUGUCGCUGGCCCGGCAGCCCGCCGAGAAGGCGGCCGAGAUCUUGAUGCGGGUGCCCAAGAAGGGGAGCGUGUUAAAGAAACGCCUCGUGAAGCUCGUUGUCAACUUUCUGUUCUACUUCCGGACAGAUGAAGCAGAGCCCAUUGGAGCUCUGCUGCUGGAACACUGCAGGAUCACCAAAGAGGAGGAGAACGUCUUCUCAAUCAGUUUCAUUGAGGAGCCGGAGAGGAAAUACUGCUUCGAAUGUGACAGUGAAGAGCAGUGUCAGGAGUGGAUUGAGGCACUCAAGCGAGCCAGCUAUGAGUUCAUGAGGAGGAGCUUGAUUUUCUACCGGAAUGAGAUCCAGAAAAUGACAGGGAAGGACCCCCUGGAGCAGUAUGGGAUCUCCGAGGAAGCCCGCUUCCAGCUGGGAACACGCAAGCAAUAAUCCCCUCGCCUGGGCUGAACUGGCUUCUGGCCGCGGAGGGUCACCCCCAAGUCCCCCCCUCCAGGAAAGAACAGCAGCAGUUCCCCACAGCAGUGACCAAGUGACUUUUUAAUUUAUUAGCCAAAUAAUUUUGUAUGAUUUUUUUAAAGGGAAUUCAUUGCACAUUCCCACUUGCCCCAGCUGCGGAGGCAGCCAGUCUUAACCACUCCCUGCAGACUGUGCCCUUGAGCUGACACCGCACCGCUGCGGCAGUGGGAGUAAAACCACCCUGGCUCCUCGGGAGAGCAGAGGAGGCAGGGACUGAACAGAGCUCCCAGCACCUGCUGUCCUCCAGCGCGGGCUUGCAGCCCUCUGGCCUGGAGCUUCUGGGGCAGGCCCUGGGCCAGCUCUAGCCCUCCUGUUCCUCUCCUGCAGGGAGCUACUCAGCUUUUCUGGCUCAGCCUCUUCCUGCAGUCUCCAAGGGAGCCGUGGAGGGUUGUUCAUCCCCUUGCUGUAAGAGGAUGCUCCAACUGAUUGCAUGUCUGUGCUUGCAGGGUUAACCCCGUCAUGCCCUCUCCUGUUCACUGCAAAGCCAUUUCGAUUGCUGAGACCUGCUAGCAGAGCCUGAUGGCCAAAGCUGUUGAGCAAGGAGGAGUGGGAAGCUUUCCAUUCACAUGGGGAGAGCUCAGCCACAGCUCCAGCUGACAGGGAGGGGGCAUCCACCCAAGCCACCCCAUCAAGGCAGCAGAGUCUGUGCAGCCACUAGCACCUGCCUCUUGGGGUUGUUUUCUUCUUUUCCCUUCUUUGGGCAGGUGGUGCUAAUUCCUAGAGGCUUGAUGAAGCCCACACUACAGGCCAUUAGAGCACUCUCACAAAUGCAUUAGAGAACAAAGCUGCAAAGCUCAAGGGAGCAGAGACAGGGCUGAGAGAUCUGUGUCGUGAUCCUGCCUCCCUCUGCAGUGCUGUGGGCUGGGCUAAGCUGUGCAGUUAUUCAGCUUCCCAGAGAGGAAAGCCAGAUGGAGAGGUUUGUAAAGACAGGAACUGCUCCACUUUGGCUGGAUGUUUGAGCUUCGGGGCAUGCAGAAGUUAAGCCUAGGGAGCAUGUGACAGCUGGGCAUUAACCCUUUGUUCCCUGAGCCAUUGCUGCAGCUUUUCUCCCCUUUGUGAGCAUCCAAAGGGAAAGACCAGAAAACUCUGCCGAGGUCACAGUGAGCUGCCAGGGAACGAGGGCUGCCUUCCCUGGGGCUCCUGUAAUGAAGAGAUAAGCGUUAAGGAUUUUCUCUCCUCAAGGCUCCACACCUUCAGCCAUGGCUCUGGCUGCACGCAGGAAAACUGUCCAGAGAUGAGGGACAGAAAGACACUCCCCACACCUGCACCCAGGGCUUCAGGAGACCCAGGUUCCCGACUCCUGCAGGAGCAGAGGACGCAGCUGCCUGCAGCAGCUCCCCUGGAACUAGACCAGGAAAACCUCCAGGAAAGGCCCCUGGGAAGAUCCCAGGUAACAUUGUCAGACGGUUGAUGACAGAAGGAACUCGGCUCACCGCUGGGGCAGUCAGAGCUGUUCUAAGAAACCAAAACCUUCACUGGGAAGGGGUGGCUGUCCAGCGCAGCCCCGGAGGGACCGGGCAUCUCACCCGACCGCCAGCAGCUCCGUGCCUCAGCACCACAGCAGGGAUCGCCGAUGGAGGAGCAGCAGCUGCACGAGCUGCAGCAGAUGCGCUGAAGAGCCGGAGCCUUCAGUCCCACGAGCAGGAGCAGUGGGGUAGUUGGAGGUCAGGGGCCUGCUCAGGAGCCAGCUGCGGAUGGCUCCACAAUGCAAUUUUUUUAGAGGCUUUUUGCUAACGGAGCCGAGCGCUUGGCAAUAGCUGGAGUGACAAACAUGCUGAGGAAGAUGAGCUGGGUCAGACUGCUGCUGCAACCUGGUUCCAGCAUCUGAAAACCUAUCCAGAGCCAUGAGCUGUGCAAGCAUUCGGUGAAGCAAGGCCUUCAUCUCAUUUUAAGAAUCCUACAGCGAAUUAACUUAGAAAGCAUUAUGGCCAUCACUUCCGAAGUUUAAAUACAUCAUCGCCUGGCUGAUUUCAGUUUUAUUAUACUGGUGAAAUUCCUGGCUAAAAGGGUAAGGAGAAAAUGUCACUAGGGUGGGUUUGUAAUGUCACGAGCACACUAAACCCUGAGAGCUUAACUGUCCUCAGCUUUGCCAGAGCUAAAUUUGCUAAUUCGGGACGUGAGGGAGAGAAGCAGGAGCCUGUCCCUGCCUGCGCCGACUGCUGCCGCCAGAUAAAGCUGCGGUCCGGAACAUCUCGUUUCCUUGGCGGACGCCAAGUGCCAUCCCCUGCUGACGCCUGUCCUGCUGAAGCAGUGAAACUCCACAACAGUACGGUGUAUUAAAAUACAUACACUUUAAUAUAAAGACAAAACUUCAAAGCAUUGUUUCAAUUACAAAUCAAGGUAAAGACACAAGAAAUUAAGUGGAGGGAGGGGAGAAAAAACUAACUCUUACAUUUUGGAGAAUUAGAAAGGCAGGGUGGAAAUAUAUAUAUUAUACAUACAUAUAUACACACCGGAAGAAUUCACACUACUUCUAUGAAGGAAUGAAAGGAAUGACAGUAUAAAAAAAAAAAAAACCACAACAAAAAAAAAGAUAAAUUAGGGGAAGUUUGAAUUUUAAAUAAUUCAGUUUAAUAGGCUAAAUUAUAUAAACUAAUUCCUAUUCACUAGGAAACAUCCCAUAUCACUGUUCUAAGAAAAUGGGUUUUUUAAAAAAUCCAUUGAAAAAUGGAUUUUUAUUAGUAGUUAAAAGUUUACUAAUCAAUUCCUGAGCAACAGCAACCUCAUAAUCUACUGCUUUCCCCAUCAAAGUCCCACUCAGCGAGGGCAGGCUCUCACUCCUAAAAAGUUUAAGUAGAACAGAGACCUAAAAAGUUGGUUUUUAAUUUGAAAUUGAUCGCUUAAAAGAUUAAUAGGUUAAAAAAGCCAAGCAGGAUGGAUCAACCCAUUCCACCUUUUCCUCAUUAACUCCAGAAACAAGACCUUUCUAAAGAAUUAUGUGACUGCAUCAGAAAAUCAACCAGAUGUACCUUGAAAAAACCAAAGGAUCACAAACUUGAGAACUUCAGGGUUAGCAUCAUAAAACUUUGAAUUUUGAGACAUGAUAUUGUUUUUAAACUAUAAAAACUGAAGAAACCUCUUCAGAAAGAAGGUCACAAACAGCAAAUAUACUGGAGAAGUAUUUCCCAUUUUUUUUUGUCUUGGAUUUAAACCCUGAAGUU